GUGCUGGGAUUACAGGCAUGAACCACCAUGCCUGGCUGUAAACAUAACUUUUAUGUGCACUGGAAAACCAAAAAAUGUGUUUGUUGACUAGCUUUAUUGCAGUACUUGCUUUAUUGGGGUGGUCUGGAACCAGAGCCUUUAAUAACUCCCAAGUUGUGCCUGUAUACGAGUCAGUGGUCUUUUAAUAUAUUCAGAGUUGUACAGCCAUCACCACAAUUAACUUUAGAACAUUUUUAUCACCCU